GACGAACGCUGGCGGCGUGCUUAACACAUGCAAGUCGAACGGAAAGGCCCUGCUUUUGUGGGGUGCUCGAGUGGCGAACGGGUGAGUAACACGUGAGUAACCUGCCCUUGACUUUGGGAUAACUUCAGGAAACUGGGGCUAAUACCGGAUAGGAGCUCCUGCUGCAUGGUGGGGGUUGGAAAGUUUCGGCGGUUGGGGAUGGACUCGCGGCGUAUCAGCUUGUUGGUGGGGUAGUGGCUUACCAAGGCUUUGACGGGUAGCCGGGCUGAGAGGGUGACCGGCCACAUUGGGACUGAGAUGCGGCCCAGACUCCACCGGGAGGCAGCAGUGGAGAAUAGUGCACAAUGGGCGGAGGCCUGAUGCAGCAACGCCGCGUGCGGGAUGACGGCCAUCGGGUUGUAAUCCGCUUUCGCCUGUGACGAAGCGUGAGUGACGGUAAUGGGUAAAGAAGCACCGGCUAACUACGUG
rnacentral:rRNA from 1 species